rnacentral:rRNA from 1 species
UGCCAGCCGCCGCGGUAAUACGGAGGGGGCUAGCGUUGUUCGGAAUUACUGGGCGUAAAGCGCACGUAGGCGGACUAUUAAGUCAGGGGUGAAAUCCCAGGGCUCAACCCUGGAACUGCCUUCGAUACUGGUAGUCUUGAGGUCGAGAGAGGUGAGUGGAAUUCCGAGUGUAGAGGUGAAAUUCGUAGAUAUUCGGAGGAACACCAGUGGCGAAAGCGACUUUCUGGCCCGUUCCUGACACUAAGACGCGAAAGCUAGGGUAGCAAACGGGAUUAGAUA